rnacentral:rRNA from 1 species
GAUGAACGCCGGCGGCGUGCCUAAUACAUGCAAGUCGAGCGAACAGAUGAGGAGCUUGCUCCUCUGACGUUAGCGGCGGACGGGUGAGUAACACGUGGAUAACCUACCUAUAAGACUGGGAUAACUUCGGGAAACCGGAGCUAAUACCGGAUAAUAUAUUGAACCGCAUGGUUCAAUAGUGAAAGACGGUUUUGCUGUCACUUAUAGAUGGAUCCGCGCCGCAUUAGCUAGUUGGUAAGGUAACGGCUUACCAAGGCGACGAUGCGUAGCCGACCUGAGAGGGUGAUCGGCCACACUGGAACUGAGACACGGUCCAGACUCCUACGGGAGGCAGCAGUAGGGAAUCUUCCGCAAUGGGCGAAAGCCUGACGGAGCAACGCCGCGUGAGUGAUGAAGGUCUUCGGAUCGUAAAACUCUGUUAUUAGGGAAGAACAAAUGUGUAAGUAACUAUGCACGUCUUGACGGUACCUAAUCAGAAAGCCACGGCUAACUACGUG